rnacentral:tRNA from 1 species
GCUGGAGUGCCGGAGUGGACAAUCGGAGCAGUCUGUAAAACUGCCGCCCGGACGGGCUACCCAGGUUCGAAUCCUGGCUCCAGCA